rnacentral:rRNA from 1 species
UACAGAGGGGGCAAGCGUUGUUCGGAAUUACUGGGCGUAAAGGGCGCGUAGGCGGCCUGCUAAGUCGAACGUGAAAUCCCCGAGCUCAACUCGGGAACUGCGUCCGAUACUGGCAGGCUUGAAUCCGGGAGAGGGAUGCGGAAUUCCAGGUGUAGCGGUGAAAUGCGUAGAUAUCAGGAGGAACACCGGUGGCGAAGGCGGUUCUCUGGGCAUGAUCUGACGCUGAGGAGCGAAAGUGUGGGGAGCGAACAGG